GUGAACGCUGGCGGCGUGCCUAAUCCAUGCCAGUCGAGCGAACAGACGAGGAGCUUGCUCCUCUGACGUUAGCGGCGGACGGGUGAGUAACACGUGGAUAACCUACCUAUAAGACUGGGAUAACUUCGGGAAACCGGAGCUAAUACCGGAUAAUAUAUUGAACCGCAUGGUUCAAUAGUGAAAGACGGUUUUGCUGUCACUUAUAGAUGGAUCCGCGCCGCAUUAGCUAGUUGGUAAGGUAACGGCUUACCAAGGCAACGAUGCGUAGCCGACCUGAGAGGGUGAUCGGCCACACUGGAACUGAGACACGGUCCAGACUCCUACGGGAGGCAGCAGUAGGGAAUCUUCCGCAAUGGGCGAAAGCUUGACGGAGCAACGCCGCGUGAGUGAUGAAGGUCUUCGGAUCGUAAAACUCUGUUAUUAGGGAAGAACAAAUGUGUAAGUAACUAUGCACGUCUUGACGGUACCUAAUCAGAAAGCCACGGCUAACUACGUG
rnacentral:rRNA from 1 species